rnacentral:rRNA from 1 species
UACGUAGGGGGCAAGCGUUGUCCGGAUUUAUUGGGCGUAAAGAGCGUGUAGGCGGCUUGGUAGGUCCGCUGUGAAAACUCGAGGCUCAACCUCGAGAUGUCGGCGGAAACCACUUGGCUAGAGUCCGGAAGAGGAGAGUGGAAUUCCCGGUGUAGCGGUGAAAUGCGCAGAUAUCGGGAAGAACACCUAUGGCGAAGGCAGCUCUCUGGGACGGUACUGACGCUGAGACGCGAAAGCGUGGGG